UACGUAGGCAGCAAGCGUUGUUCGGAGUUACUGGGCGUAAAGGGUGCGUAGGCGGCUUUUUAAGUUUGGUGUGAAAUCUCCCGGCUCAACUGGGAGGGUGCGCCGAAUACUGAGAGGGCUAGAGUGCGGGAGAGGAAAAGUGGAAUUCCUGGUGUAGCGGUGAAAUGCGUAGAUAUCAGGAGGAACACCGGUGGUGUAAACGGCUUUCUGGACCGUAACUGACGCUGAUGCACGAAAGCGUGGGUAGCAAACAGG
rnacentral:rRNA from 1 species